GGAGUUGUGGCUCAGUGGUAAAGUGUUCACCUAGAAUGUGUGAGACCCUGAGUUCAAUUCUCAGCACCA
rnacentral:tRNA from 1 species